CAAUAGCGUAUAUUAAAGUUGUUGCGGUUAAAAGCUCGUAGUUGGAUUUCUGUCGGUGACUCGCAGUCCGCCCGCAGUGGUUGGUACUUGUGUUGUCACCGGCAUCUUCCUGGGGACUGUAUCUGCUCUUAAUUGGGUGGUGCAUAAUCCAGGACUUUUACUUUGAAGAAAUGAGAGUGUUUCAAGCAGGCAUGCGCCGUGAAUACGUUAGCAUGGAAUAAUAGCAUCGGACCUCGUUCCAAAGCUGUUGGUUUCUUGGACCGAGGUAAAGGUGAAUAGGGAUUGUUGGGGGCAUUCGUAUUCCAAUGUCAGAGGUGAAAUUCUUGGAUUAUCGGAAGAUGAACUUCUGCGAAAGCAUCUGCCAAGGAUGUUUUCAUUGAUCAAGAACGAAAGUUAGGGGAUCGAAGAUGAUCAGAUACCAU
rnacentral:rRNA from 1 species